CUACGGAUCACCAUAGCACUUCCCCUUUGGCGCUAAACACGCUUUCCUGGUUGACAUUCUCUGAACACUGCUUUGUCUUUCCGAAGGGGCGGUAACAUCUGGACCAUACUCUACAAAACUAGGAACCAUUGUCACGGAGGUGCGCAGUCGGCGAUCCCUCGGGGACUGCUAAAUCAGUCAUCGUUGCGAUGAGCUUGCUCUGCAUCUGAUGCACGCA